GACGAACGCUGGCGGCGUGCUUAACACAUGCAAGUCGAACGGAAAGGCCCUGCUUGCAGGGUACUCGAGUGGCGAACGGGUGAGUAACACGUGGGUGAUCUGCCCUGCACUUCGGGAUAAGCCUGGGAAACUGGGUCUAAUACCUGAUAGGAGCCACUUUUAGUGUGAUGGUUGGAAAGUUUUUCCGGUGUAGGAUGAGCUCGCGGGCUAUCAGCUUGUUGGGGGGGUAAUGGCCUACCAAGGCGGCGACGGGUAGCCGGCCUGAGAGGGUGGACGGCGACACUGAGACUGAGGUACGGCCCAGACUCCUACGGGAGGCAGCAGUGGGGAAUAUUGCACAAUGGGCGCAAGCCUGAUGCAGCGACGCCGCGUGUGGGAUGACGGCCUUCGGGUUGUAAACUCCUUUCGCUAGGGACGAAGCUUUUUGUGACGGUACCUAGAUAAGAAGCACCGGCUAACUACGUG
rnacentral:rRNA from 1 species